GACGAACGCUGGCGGCGUGCUUAACACAUGCAAGUCGAACGGAAAGGCCCUGCUUUUGUGGGGUGCUCGAGUGGCGAACGGGUGAGUAACACGUGAGUAACCUGCCCUUGACUUAGGGAUAACUUCAGGAAACUGGGGCUAAUACCGGAUAGGAGCUCCUGCUGCAUGGUGGGGGUUGGAAAGUUUCGGCGGUUGGGAAUGGACUCGCGGCUUAUCAGCUUGUUGGUGGGGUAGUGGCUUACCAAGGCUUUGACGGGUAGCCGGCCUGAGAGGGUGACCGGCCACAUUGGGACUGAGAUACGGCCCAGACUCCUACGGGAGGCAGCAGUGGGGAAUAUUGCACAAUGGGCGGAAGCCUGAUGCAGCAACGCCGCGUGCGGGAUGACGGCCUUCGGGUUGUAAACCGCUUUCGCCUGUGACGAAGCGUGAGUGACGGUAAUGGGUAAAGAAGCACCGGCUAACUACGUG
rnacentral:rRNA from 1 species